UACGUAGGGUGCGAAGCGUUGUCCGGAAUUAUUGGGCGUAAAGAGCUUGUAGGCGGUUUGUCGCGUCUGCUGUGAAAUCUCAAGGCUCAACCUUGAGCUUGCAGUGGGUACGGGGCAGACUAGAGUGUGGUAGGGGAGACUGGAAGUUCCUGGUGAUAGCGGUGAAAUGACGCAGAUAGUCAGGAGGAACACCGAUGGCGAAGGCAGGUCUCU
rnacentral:rRNA from 1 species